AGAACAACAACCCGGACCUUCUUUUUCGGCGAACACGCAAACGAAUCCAAAAGAGCAUUGUAAAGCGAUAACGACGAGAAGUGGAAGGGAGUUGAUUAGUCAGAGUAAAAAAAGAGAUGAGAGUGAAAAAAGAGAGGAUGAGGAAAAAGAUGAGGAGAAAAAAAUAGAGGAUGACAUUGAUGGUGAAGUUGGGGAGUGGAGUGAGGAAGAAGUUGAAAAAAAUGAAAAAAAUGGUGAAGUAGAAAAUAAAGAAAGUGUGGAAGUCGAAAAAAAU
rnacentral:lncRNA from 1 species